UACAGAGGUGGCGAGCGUUGUUCGGAUUUACUGGGCGUAAAGGGUGCGUAGGUGGUUCUGUGUGUCGGAUGUAAAAGCCUGGAGCUUAACUCCAGAACGUCAUUCGAAACUGCAGGGCUAGAGUGCAGGAGAGGAGAGCGGAAUUCUUGGUGUAGCGGUGAAAUGCGUUGAUAUCAAGAAGAACACCGGAUGCGAAGGCGGCUCUCUAGUAUGUUACUGACACUGAGGCACGAAAGCCGGGGGAGCAAACAGG
rnacentral:rRNA from 1 species